rnacentral:rRNA from 1 species
UACGAAGGGGGCUAGCGUUGCUCGGAAUUACUGGGCGUAAAGGGCGCGUAGGCGGCACUGUUAGUCAGGCGUGAAAGUCCUGGGCUCAACCUGGGAACUGCGCUUGAUACGGCAGAGCUAGAGGAUGGAAGAGGGUCGCGGAAUUCCCAGUGUAGAGGUGAAAUUCGUAGAUAUUCGCAAGAACACCAGUGGCGAAGGCGGCUUACUGGUCCGGUUCUGACGCUGAGGCGCGAAAGUGUGGGGAGCAAACAGG